rnacentral:rRNA from 1 species
GCUUGUCUCAAAGAUUAAGCCAUGCAUGUCUAAGUAUAAAUCUUUUACUUUGAAACUGCGAACGGCUCAUUAUAUCAGUUAUAGUUUAUUUGAUAGUCCCUUACUACUUGGAUAACCGUAGUAAUUCUAGAGCUAAUACAUGCGCCCAAACCCAACUUCUUGGAAGGGUUGUGUUUAUUAGAUACAGAACCAACCCAGGCUCCGCCUGGCCUUGAGGUGAUUCACAAUAACCGAACGAAUCGCAUAGCUGCCGCUGGCGAUAGACCAUUCAAGUUUCUGACCUAUCAGCUAUCGUCGGUAGGGUAUUGGCCUACCGUGGCAAUGACGGGUAACGGAGAAUUAGGGUUCGAUUCCGGAGAGGGAGCCUGAGAAACGGCUACCACAUCUAAGGAAGGCAGCAGG